AGAGUGAAAUUGCAGCCAAGGAUGACUUGCCGGGGAUCGGUAAUAUGGGAUCUUAUUAUUUUUUCCGGCAGGUUGUCCUUGGCUACAUUUGGCUCUCU
rfam:Beta vulgaris subsp. vulgaris Bvchr8.sca018.con0316.1, whole genome shotgun sequence.